GAUGAAGAACGUAGCGAAAUGCGAUACUUGGUGUGAAUUGCAGAAUCCCGUGAACCAUCGAGUCUUUGAACGCAAGUUGCGCCCGAAGCCUCGGCUAAGGGCACGUCUGCCUGGACGUCACGCAUCGCGUCUCCCCCAAACCGCCAAGGCGGAGGGGAAGGAAGAUGGCUUCCCGUGCCUCACCCGGCGCGGUUGGCCUAAAUUUGGAGCCCGCGGCACUUAGCUCUCGCGGCGAUAGGUGGUGAACAAGGCCUUGGCCGUGCAAACAACCCGCUGCGAAGCUCUAUGUCACGUGCGCUCGUCGGACCCUUUGAAGUUGCCUUCGGUGACUUAAAACCUUUGUGACCCCAGGUCAGGCGGGGCUACCCGCUGAAUUUAAGCAUAUCAAUAAGCGGAGG
rnacentral:misc_RNA from 1 species